AAGAAGGGAGGUGCCAGGUACUAGUGGCCCAUGGCAAUUCCCAUAACAUAUGCAAAUCAAGAAUCAAGGAGAAAAUAUCAUGGCACCUAUUCUCCGCGUAGAGCAUGGACGGCCAUGCAUGGGUGGCCUAGGCCGAGGCCGAGAACAGAUACAUGAGGGGCUUUCCUUCUUAUCUUUCUUUGUUCUGGGUGUCAGAUUUUAAACUUGCUGAGAGAGCAAGUUGAACUUGUCUGCCAUCACCACCAUUGGUUGAGGUGGUGGAGGGGUUUCUACCUAUGAUGGCUGCAUCUGGUUGUUGGCCCUAUCUUCCACCUGUCGAAAGGCAGUGGCGUUGGAGCAGCGGGAAGAUGCUUUUUUGGGCACCAUUGCUACUCUGCCUUUGAUUGUGCUCCUUCGAAUAAGGAUGAAACCCUUUCUCUAGUAUCAAUUUGUUGGUGCAGAAUUUCAUCGAGCACCAGAGGGUUGGAGUCGGUGGAAUACUGGGCUGUCGGAGGCGAGACCUAGAAGAAAAGUCUCCAGCCAGAGCUAACUCUAGGGGACCCCUCCAAUGCUCAAGUCAGUUUGCUGCUCAAUAGAGGAAGGAGUAUGAGAGGUCGAGUGAUGGCAUACCUAAGGGGUUCCUCUUUUUCUUCUUCUUAUAGGUGG
rnacentral:lncRNA from 1 species